rnacentral:ncRNA from 1 species
AGAUCUGCUCGUAAAGCCCGAGCAGGGUAAAAUAAAAAAAGCUUACUGAGA